GACGAACGCUGGCGGCGUGCUUAACACAUGCAAGUCGAACGGAAAGGCCCCUUUGGGGGUACUCGAGUGGCGAACGGGUGAGUAACACGUGAGUAACCUGCCCUUGACUUCGGGAUAACUUCAGGAAACUGGGGCUAAUACCGGAUAGGAAUCCUUGCUGCAUGGUGGGGGUUGGAAAGCUUCGGCGGUUUUGGCUGGACUCGCGGCUUAUCAGCUUGUUGGUGGGGUAGUGGCUUACCAAGGCUUUGACGGGUAGCCGGCCUGAGAGGGCGACCGGCCACACUGGGGCUGAGGUGCGGCCCAGACUCCUACGGGAGGCAGCAGUGGGGAAGAUUGACCGAGGGGCGGAGGCCUGAUGCAGCAAGGCCGCGGGCGGGAUGACGGCCUUCGGGUUGUAAACCGCUUUCAGCAGGGGCGAAGCUUGUGGUGACGGUACCUGCAGAAGAAGCACCGGCUAACUACGUG
rnacentral:rRNA from 1 species